AGACGGUGGCUGUUGGCGGUACACAGCAGGAGGCAAAGGAGCUCCACGCAGGACGGGAGACUCCACGGCGUGCCAUGCAGGCCACAAUAAAGGUAUUUAGAGAAUG